CUAAUUAGACUCGUGGUGGUGUUGUUGUUGUAAUCUUCUUGUGGUAUCGAAAUGACGUAGGAUUUUUUCUGGUACUCCUGGGGCACUAGUGGGGUUUUCUCGUUAACGGUCAUUUUCGUGUUGGCUGGUCACUCGGUACACUUGACACUGUUAAGAGCUCUCACAAAACAGGCAGGCUGCACGCGAUAGCUACGGUCUCAACUCUGCAAUACUUGUGAUCGCUGAUCCUGCUCCGGUUUGAGUUUUAUACUGCUCGGAGGCUGCGUAUACAGCACAGAGCACACACCGAUCCGUGAGAUGUCCGAGUGUGCCGAUAGAGAGCCAUCGUUCCUGAUUCUAAUAGCGGUAGCAUCUUUUCGCGUGUAGUCGCUCACCAAUACAAAUAUUAACAAGCGGCUUUCCCAAUGAUGACGUGAAUGAUGAGAUGAACCAACUACCGAUCGUUAUGACUCAAUUGUUACGGAACUGAUAACAACUUCGCAGCCAACUGUUCGAUGUAGGUACAGGACAAUUGUGAGGCUAGCGCUACGAUCCUACUGGCUGGCGACUGGCUUUUUAGGACAGCAUCGAACCUCGAGACCAACUGGAAGGUUCAGCGGUACCCAUCAAUACGAUAA